AUUGAACGCUGGCGGCAGGCCUAACACAUGCAAGUCGAGCGAGCGGCGGACGGGUGUGUAAAGUCUGGGAAACUGCCUGAUGGGGGGGGAUAACUACUGGAGACGGUAGCUAAUACCGCAUACCAUCAGAUGUGCCCAGAUGGGAUUAGCUAGUAGGUGGGGUAACGGCGCCCCUAGGCGACGAUCCCUCGCUGGUCUGAGAGGAUGACCAGCCACACGGGAACUGAGACACGGUCCAGACUCCUACGGGAGGCAGCAGUGGGGAAUAUUGCACAAUGGGCGCAAGCCUGAUGCAGCCAUGCCGCGUGUGUGAAGAAGGCCUUCGGGUUGGAAAGCACUUUCAGCGGGGAGGCGUUACCCGCAGAAGAAGCACCGGCUAACUCCGUGCCAGCAGCCGCGGUAAUAC
rnacentral:rRNA from 1 species